UUUUAGCCCUGAUGGCCAAAUUACUUUCGCAAUUACCUUUUUAUUUUUCCUUUAAAAAUAAAAAGAUACAGUGGACAGCAGGACAUCGA
rnacentral:sRNA from 1 species